GACGUAGGGUGCAAGCGUUGUCCGGAAUUAUUGGGCGUAAAGAGCUCGUAGGCGGUUUGUCGCGUCUGCUGUGAAAAUCCCGAGGCUCAACCUCGGGCCUGCAGUGGGUACGGGCAGACUGGAGUGCGGUAGGGGAGAAUGGAAUUCCUGGUGUAGCGGUGGAAUGCGCAGAUAUCAGGAGGAACACCGAUGGCGAAGGCAGUUCUCUGGGCCGUGAACUGACGCUGAGGAGCGAAAGCGUGGGGAGCGAACAGG
rnacentral:rRNA from 1 species